GUUGCUUAUUCUUUAGUUUUCUAUGUUGUGUCCUGUGUACUAUUGUUUGUCUGUUUGUCUUUUUCAUUUUUAGCCAUGGCGUUGUCAGUUUUUUUUUUUUUGUUUUUUUUUGUUUUUGUUUCAUGAGUUUGACUGUCCCUCUGGUAUCGUUCUUCCCUCUUUUAAGAUGUAAAAUUCAAUUGUUAGACUUUGCACUUGCUCAAAGAUUAAAAC
rnacentral:lncRNA from 1 species